UGGGGAAUAUUGGGCAAUGGGCGAAAGCCUGACCCAGCCAUGCCGCGUGAGUGAUGAAGGCCUUAGGGUUGUAAAACUCUUUCGCUGGGGAAGAUAAUGACGGUACCCAGUAAAGAAGCCCCGGCUAAUUUCGUGCCAGCAGCCGCGGUAAUACGAAAGGGGCUAGCGUUGUUCGGAAUUACUGGGCGUAAAGCGCGCGUAGGCGGCUUGCCAAGUUGGGGGUGAAAUCCCGGGGCUCAACCUCGGAACUGCCUCCAAAACUGGCUCGCUAGAGGAUGUGAGAGGAUAGUGGAAUUCCGAGUGUAGAGGUGAAAUUCGUAGAUAUUCGGAAGAACACCAGUGGCGAAGGCGACUGUCUGGCACAUUUCUGACGCUGAGGUGCGAAAGCGUGGGGAGCAAACAGG
rnacentral:rRNA from 1 species